rnacentral:rRNA from 1 species
GUUGACCUCGGAUCAGGUAGGGAUACCCGCUGAACUUAAGCAUAUCAAUAAGCGGAGGAAAAGAAACCAACAGGGAUUGCCUUAGUAACUGCGAGUGAAGCGGCAAAAGCUCAAAUUUGAAAUCUGACGUUUUUGACGUCCGAGUUGUAAUUUGGAGGGAUAUCUUCGGAGCUGGCGCUGUCCUAAGUUCUUUGGAACCAGACAUCAUAGAGGGUGAGAAUCCCGUGCCUGGGUGGCUGUCCUGCUCCAUGUGAAGUGUCUCCGACGAGUCGAGUUGUUUGGGAAUGCAGCUCAAAAUGGGUGGUAAAUUUCAUCUAAAGCUAAAUAUUGGCGAGAGACCGAUAGCGCACAAGU